AUACGGAGGAUCCGAGCGUUAUCCGGAUUUAUUGGGUUUAAAGGGUGCGCAGGCGGGAGAUUAAGUCGGCGGUGAAAUUUUUCAGCUCAACUGUAAAAGUGCCUUCGAAACUGGGUUCCUUGAGUGUAGAUGAAGUAGGCGGAAUUUGUGGGGUAGCGGUGAAAUGCAUAGAUAUCACGAGGAACUCCGAUUGCGCAGGCAGCUUACUAAACUACUACUGACGCUCAGGCACGAAGGCGUGGGGAUCAAACAGGAUUAGAUACCCUGGUAGUCCACGCAGUAAACGAUGAUUACUAGCUGUUUGCGAUACAAUGUAAGCGGCUGAGCGAAAGCGUUAAGUAAUCCACCUGGGGAGUACGUUCGCAAGAAUGAAACUCAAAGGAAUUGACGGGG
rnacentral:rRNA from 1 species